rnacentral:rRNA from 1 species
UACGAAGGGUGCAAGCGUUAAUCGGAAUUACUGGGCGUAAAGGGUGCGUAGGCGGUUGUCUAAGUCUGUCGUGAAAUCCCCGGGCUCAACCUGGGAAUGGCGAUGGAACCUGGGCAGCUAGAGUGUGUCAGAGGAUGGUGGAAUUCCCGGUGUAGCGGUGAAAUGCGUAGAGAUCGGGAGGAACAUCAGUGGCGAAGGCGGCCAUCUGGGACAACACUGACGCUGAAGCACGAAAGCGUGGGGAGCAAACAGG